UACGUAGGGGGCAAGCGUUGUCCGGAUUUAUUGGGCGUAAAGAGCGUGUAGGCGGCCUUACAGGUCAGCUGUGAAAACUCGAGGCUCAACCUCGAGACGUCGGUUGAAACCGUAUGGCUAGAGUCCGGAAGAGGAGAGUGGAAUUCCCGGUGUAGCGGUGAAAUGCGCAGAUAUCAGGAGGAACACCAAUGGCGAAGGCAGCACUCUGGGACGUGACUGACGCUGAGACGCGAAAGCGUGGGGAGCAAACAGG
rnacentral:rRNA from 1 species